rnacentral:rRNA from 1 species
AUUGCCUCAGUAACGGCGAGUGAAGCGGCAACAGCUCAAAUUUGAAAUCUGGCCCUAGGCCCGAGUUGUAAUUUGCAGAGGAUGCUUUUGGCGAGGUGCCUUCCGAGUUCCCUGGAACGGGACGCCAUAGAGGGUGAGAGCCCCGUCUGGUCGGACACCGAGCCUCUGUAAAGCUCCUUCGACGAGUCGAGUAGUUUGGGAAUGCUGCUCUAAAUGGGAGGUAUAUGUCUUCUAAAGCUAAAUACCGGCCAGAGACCGAUAGCGCACAAGUAGAGUGAUCGAAAGAUGAAAAGCACUUUGAAAAGAGAGUUAAAUAGCACGUGAAAUUGUUGAAAGGGAAGCGUUUAUGACCAGACUUGGCCCGGUUGAUCAUCCAGCGUUCUCGCUGGUGCACUCUGCCGGUCCAGGCCAGCAUCAGUUCGUCGCGGGGGAUAAAGGUUUCGGGAAUGUGGCUCCUUCGGGAGUGUUAUAGCCCGUUGCGUAAUACCCUGCGGUGGACUGAGGUCCGCGCUUCUGCAAGGAUGCUGGCGUAAUGGUCAUCAACGACCCGUCUUGAAACACGGACCAAGGAGUCGUCUUCGUAUGCGAGUGUUCGGGUGUAAAACCCCUACGCGUAAUGAAAGUGAACGCAGGUGAGAGCUUCGGCGCAUCAUCGACCGAUCCUGAUGUUCUCGGAUGGAUUUGAGUAAGAGCAUACGGGGCCGGACCCGAAAGAAGGUGAACUAUGCCUGUAUAGGGUGAAGCCAGAGGAAACUCUGGUGGAGGCUCGCAGCGGUUCUGACGUGCAAAUCGAUCGUCAAAUAUGGGCAUGGGGGCGAAAGACUAAU